AUAGAAAUUAUUAUUAGUAUCGCCUGCUCCAUGAAUAUUAAAUAGCCGCGGCCCUCCGUGCUAAGGUAGCAUAAUCAUUCGCCUUUUAAUUGAAGGAUAGUAUGAACGGCUGAACAUGUUAAUACCUUUAUUUUUAGGUUUUCUUAAAACUUUUUUGAGAGUAAGAAGACUCUCAUAACCCAGGGGGACGACAAGACCCUGUCGAACUUAACUCUAAGUUGCGCUGGGGUGGCAUCAAACAAAUUCUUUUUACACCUCCUAAUCUCAACCUGGUUUUAUAUAAACUAAGUUACCGCAGGGAUAACAGCAUAAUUUUUUCCUAGAGCCCUUAUCUAAGAAAUAGAUUGUGACCUCGAUGUUGAAUUAAUAAUCUUUUAGAAGCAGUAUUCUAAAAAGAA
rnacentral:rRNA from 1 species